UGUAAUACCCAGCCAUCUAGCUGGAAAAGCAGCCAGAUGUAAUACAAAAGAAGAAACACAGCCUCUUAUGGAUGCAGCACUAAUUCAUAAAUCAGGUGAAUCAUCUUAGGCAACUGCUGUGUUUUUAUGCCUCUGCUGCAUGGAGAACUGCAUGUUGGAUGCUUUUAUUUGAAGUAAUGGAGCCAGACAAUCCCUUGGACCAAGACAACUCCAAUGGUGACACUCUGUGAUGCAUCAGUAGAGCUGGGGGUGGGCCCAAAGACUGGAAAAGCAGAGGUUGCUGCUGGUCAGGACCGACAUGGAAACCUGUGAAGGACUGGAAUAGCAGGGAAUCUGGGAUACUGUAGGUGAAGACUGAGAUGUGUCUGGCAGAGCUGAGUGAGGGAUUGAGACUGGAACAGAAGGAGGUGUUGCGUUUUAAAGCUGCCGUGUAUUUGGCAGAGCAUUGGAUUUGGGGGAAGCUUACCCAGUGUCCCCCUACCCAGUGCCAGAUGUAAGCCAGCACUCCUGGCCCUUCAACUUUGUGAACGCUGAACUCACUUGCACGUUUUAGAAAAAGUAAAUGUGUUAUUGACUCCGAUGUGAUCUGCUGGAGAUGAUUGAUUUGGAGAGCUGGGGUGAGCUGCCAGUGAAGCGAGCACAUAUGAGAGCGAAAGGAGGAUGGAUUGUUCUGAUCUAAAGCAGCCCUUUUAAAGUGUGUGUGCGAGGAUGGCAGAGCAGCAGGUGGGCCCAGUCAUCUCCUUCUCAGGGGGAACUUUCUGCUGAUGGGCUUCCAAGGACAGAGCAGAGAGGAAGUGAACAGAACUGGGGAUUUCCCCCAAAAUCGCACUGUCAAGCAUCUGAGAGAAAGGCAGAAAGAAAGAGAGACCAACACACUCAUCCCCAGAACAAUACGUUUAAGCCCACACUGUUUUUUGUUCUGUAUGGUGGUGGAGGAAAGUGAUAAAGGUUGACAGCGUAAACUCCUCCUCAUCUACCAGCAAUUGAGAAUUUGCAAGCCCCAAAAUAACUUGUUUAAUUUGUAUCACUGUGAUGAACUAAACUCACUCUAGAGCAAUCCUUCCUCAGCUCUGAAUUUCCUGGCUCUGGGGAAAUUGCAUGCAGCCUCUAAAUAUUAUGUUUUUUGUGUUCUAUGUGCACUUGUCUGGAUGUGCUUGUUGUACUGUUUCCUGUAGGGGCUGCCAUCCUAGGAUGUUGCAUAGAGAAGCAACAUUAUUGUUGUUAUUGUUAUAGAACAUUUGUUUAUAGCACCCUGAAUGUGGAUGAUGGUUUUCAGAGAGAACAAAGACAUGGCCCCUGCUCUGGGGAGUAGGUAAGUUAGGUUAGAUUUAGAUAACGACACAGCGAGAAAGGCCAUUGGAUGGAGGGGAGGGGAAAGACUACACAGAAUAAGGUUGUGAGUUUGUUUUUACACAGCACACCUUCGUGUUUGGACCUUUGUUGGGUUUUUUUCUUUCUUCUAAAUAAUGAGUUAGGAGCUUGGCAUUGUCAGAGAAUGUGGGCAAAAAGGUAGAGUUAGAAGUUGGAUUUGAGGGAGGUUAUUACAUAUGCACAUGCACGUUCCAUGGGAUCUAUUAACAACGGUGCUAUGAUUGUCUAUGGGUGGCACAGUAUUCAACUUUGUUCUGUAUGAAAGCUGGUUUGUUGUUAUAGGGUUGCUUACGGGCAUUGGACUGUGUAUGCUGGUUUGUUAUGGAGGCUUGUUCACAAAUGUGAGACUGCUGGCUAAGAUUUUUUUAAAGGGGAUAAAAACACUGAAAUAUUGUUCAUGGGCAAAACCCCAUGUCCAGGACUGUAUGCUCUUUUCAAAAUGCUAUAAGAAAACAUAGUUACGAGAAAUUUGGGUCUUCUGAUCUUUCACAGUGUCCUUUGAACAUGCCUUAUAUAAUGAAAGCUUAGGGCUCAGGUUUUGUGUAGAAUGGAUAUUGGAAAGGAACAUUCUUAGGAGCUAAAUCCAUUUCUUAGAUAUUUUUAGAAGUUCAGUUCUGAGUAUUACCUACA